rnacentral:misc_RNA from 1 species
GCAGCAAUGGGCGCCUUCCAUUCUUAUCCAAAACAAGCUCCUUUAACAUUGUUUGAAGUUCGCGAAUGACAGUCUUUGUAAUAAGCUUUGUGUCAUCAACAGUUGAAACAAGGUAGGAAAGUACCAAGCUCCCAUAUUGAUCAUGAGCUAUCUUGCCCACGUAGCCUUUCAUUCCUUUCACAAUCUUCUUUCUUUCCUUAGCACUCCCAUGUUUAACACAGAGCAUACCAAUCCUGGAUCCAUCUCUUGUAUGGAUUAUUCGAACAAGAAGUGGACCUGAUAAUUGCUGAAU